GUAUUAGGUUGGUGCAAAAGUAACUGCGGUUUUUGUCAUUACUUUUAAUGCCAAAAAUCGCAAUUACUUUUGCACCAACCUAAUAUAA
ensembl:miRNA